AAUUUAUGUCUCAUACUAAACUAAAAUUUAUGUCAGGUAGUUAAUUUAAAUCAAAACAAAAUUAAUUUAGUUUAUAAAAUUAGAAAAUUUCCAACAGUCAGUACAUCAAUGGAAAAAGGGAAGGAAUCACUGUUUUUGUAUAGCAAGGAUAAGUAGGGAACAUCCUAAGAGAUGAUCCAAAUUAGUUUUGGUCCUUUCAAAUGGUUCCCAUGUUUUGUGAACUGCUAAACACGCAUGGCCCACGAACUCCAACUCUUUCUUUCAUUCUCUUAAACAGGGACACUCCAACUUGUACUCUUU
rnacentral:lncRNA from 1 species